CCCUUAGAGUUUGAUCCUGGCUCAGAUUGAACGCUGGCGGCAUGCCUUACACAUGCAAGUCGAACGGUAACAGGGAGCUUGCUCCGCUGACGAGUGGCGAACGGGUGAGUAAUACAUCGGAACGUGCCCAGUAAUGGGGGAUAGCUCGGCGAAAGCCGGAUUAAUACCGCAUACGCCCUGAGGGGGAAAGUGGAGGACCGCAAGGCCUCACGUUAUUGGAGCGGCCGAUGGCUGAUUAGCUAGUUGGUAGGGUAAAGGCCUACCAAGGCGACGAUCAGUAGCUGGUCUGAGAGGACGAUCAGCCACACUGGGACUGAGACACGGCCCAGACUCCUACGGGAGGCAGCAGUGGGGAAUUUUGGACAAUGGGGGAAACCCUGAUCCAGCAAUGCCGCGUGUGCGAAGAAGGCCUUCGGGUUGUAAAGCACUUUUGUCAGGGAAGAAAUCCUUUGGGCUAAUACCCUAGGGGGAUGACGGUACCUGAAGAAUAAGCACCGGCUAACUACGUGCCAGCAGCCGCGGUAAUACGUAGGGUGCAAGCGUUAAUCGGAAUUACUGGGCGUAAAGCGUGCGCAGGCGGUUGUGUAAGACAGGUGUGAAAUCCCCGGGCUUAACCUGGGAAUUGCAUUUGUGACUGCACGACUAGAGUGUGUCAGAGGGGGGUGGAAUUCCACGUGUAGCAGUGAAAUGCGUAGAUAUGUGGAGGAACACCAAUGGCGAAGGCAGCCCCCCUGGGAUAACACUGACGCUCAUGCACGAAAGCGUG
rnacentral:rRNA from 1 species